GUGAUCACUUCGCAGCACUGCAGUAGAAGAUAAAAAGAUAAACACAGUUAGCUCAUCACAGAUAUCAGUUCUGUGGCUUCACUAUCACACAGAACUACCAGCAGCAGAAGAUGACCAUAAAUCAAGACAGUAAAGCAUAAACCUAGCAACUAAUGAAGACAUUUUUCAAUUGAGCUAGCAUGCACUUGCACCAAUUAUAACAGUGUAACCAGUGCAUCAAAAGUAGCGCCAUUAAAGAUGCAAACAGUUGGC
rnacentral:misc_RNA from 1 species